rnacentral:rRNA from 1 species
GAUGAACGCUGGCGGCGUGCUUAACACAUGCAAGUCGAACGAAGCACUUAAGAUUGAUUCUUCGGAUGACGUCUUUUGUGACUUAGUGGCGGACGGGUGAGUAACGCGUGGGUAACCUGCCUCACACAGGGGGAUAACAGUUAGAAAUGACUGCUAAUACCGCAUAACCCGAUAGGAUCGCAUGAUCCAGACGGAAAAGAUUUAUCGGUGUGAGAUGGACCCGCGUCUGAUUAGCUAGUUGGUGAGGUAACGGCCCACCAAGGCGACGAUCAGUAGCCGGGCUGAGAGAGUGAACGGCCACAUUGGGACGGAGACACGGCCCAAACUCCUACGGGAGGCAGCAGUGGGGAAUAUUGCACAAUGGGGGAAACCCUGAUGCAGCGACGCCGCGUGAGUGAAGAAGUAUUUCGGUAUGUAAAGCUCUAUCAGCAGGGAAGAAAAUGACGGUACCUGACUAAGAAGCCCCGGCUAACUACGUG